GACGAACGCUGGCGGCGUGCUUAACACAUGCAAGUCGAACGGAAAGGCCCUGCUUUUGUGGGGUGCUCGAGUGGCGAACGGGUGAGUAACACGUGAGUAACCUGCCCUUUACUUUGGGAUAACUUCAGGAAACUGGGGCUAAUACCGGAUAGGAGCUCCUUCUGCAUGGUGUGGGUUGGAAAGUUUCGGCGGUUGGGGAUUGACUCGCGGCUUAUCAGCUUGUUGGUGGGGUAGUGGCUUACCAAGGCUUUGACGGGUAGCCGGCCUGAGAGGGUGACCGGCCACAUUGGGAAUGAGAUACGGCCCAGACUCCUACGGGAGGCAGCAGUGGGGAAUAUUGCAAAAUGGGCGGAAGCCUGAUGCAGCAACGCCGCGUGCGGGAUGACGGCCUUCGGGUUGUAAACCGCUUUCGCCUGUGACGAAGCGUGAGUGACGGUAAUGGGUAAAGAAGCACCGGCUAACUACGUG
rnacentral:rRNA from 1 species